GCCAGCAUGGUGUAGUGGUUUGAAUGUCGGACUAGGACUGUGGUGGUCAGGGUUCGAAUCCCUGCUCGAGCA